UGGGGAAUUUUGGACAAUGGGCGCAAGCCUGAUCCAGCCAUGCCGCGUGCGGGAAGAAGGCCUUCGGGUUGUAAACCGCUUUUGUCAGGGAAGAAACGCUCUGGGCUAAUACCCUGGGGUAAUGACGGUACCUGAAGAAUAAGCACCGGCUAACUACGUGCCAGCAGCCGCGGUAAUACGUAGGGUGCAAGCGUUAAUCGGAAUUACUGGGCGUAAAGCGUGCGCAGGCGGUUAUGCAAGACAGAUGUGAAAUCCCCGGGCUCAACCUGGGAACUGCAUUUGUGACUGUAUAGCUAGAGUACGGUAGAGGGGGAUGGGAUUCCGCGUGUAGCAGUGAAAUGCGUAGAUAUGCGGAGGAACACCGAUGGCGAAGGCAAUCCCCUGGACCUGUACUGACGCUCAUGCACGAAAGCGUGGGGAGCAAACAGGAUUAGAUACCCGUGUAGUCCCUGAGCGGGCUGGCAAGGCGCAU
rnacentral:rRNA from 1 species